UACAGAGGUCCCAAGCGUUGUUCGGAUUCACUGGGCGUAAAGGGUGCGCAGGUGGGUUGGCAAGUUUGACGUGAAAGCCCCGGGCUUAACCCGGGAAUGGCGUUGAAAACUGCUGAUCUGGAGGGUCGGAGGGGGGACUGGAAUUCUUGGUGUAGCAGUGAAAUGCGUAGAUAUCAAGAGGAACACCAGUGGCGAAGGCGAGUCCCUGGACGAUACCUGACACUGAGGCACGAAAGCCAAGGGAGCAAACAGG
rnacentral:rRNA from 1 species